GACCCUUUCGUCUAGUCGGUCCAGGACAUCACCCUUUCACGGUGAAAACAUGGGUUCAAGUCCCGUAAGGGUCACCA
rnacentral:tRNA from 1 species